rnacentral:rRNA from 1 species
UACGAAGGGUGCAAGCGUUACUCGGAAUUACUGGGCGUAAAGCGUGCGUAGGUGGUUGUUUAAGUCUGUUGUGAAAGCCCUGGGCUCAACCUGGGAACUGCAGUGGAAACUGGACGACUAGAGUGAGGUAGAGGGUAGCGGAAUUCCUGGUGUAGCAGUGAAAUGCGUAGAGAUCAGGAGGAACAUCCAUGGCGAAGGCAGCUACCUGGACCAACACUGACACUGAGGCACGAAAGCGUGGGGAGCAAACAGG